CGAGUGCCCCCUCUUGAACCCCUGCCCCGCCGGGUUCUACGCGUUGGACAGCCAGAGGAAAUGCCUGAAGUGCCACCCCAGCUGUAAGACGUGCGUCGACGACCCCGAGAAAUGCACCGUCUGCAAGGAGGGGUUCAGCCUCGCUCGGGGCAGCUGCAUUCCCGAUUGCGAGCCGGGGACCUACUUCGACUCCGAGCUGGUCCGGUGCGGGCAGUGCCACCCCACCUGCAAGACCUGCGUGGGUGAGUGCACGGCUGGCCGGGGGCGUGGG